rnacentral:rRNA from 1 species
UACAGAGGGUGCAAGCGUUAAUCGGAAUUACUGGGCGUAAAGCGCGCGUAGGUGGUUUGUUAAGUUGGAUGUGAAAUCCCCGGGCUCAACCUGGGAACUGCAUUCAAAACUGACAAGCUAGAGUAUGGUAGAGGGUGGUGGAAUUUCCUGUGUAGCGGUGAAAUGCGUAGAUAUAGGAAGGAACACCAGUGGCGAAGGCGACCACCUGGACUGAUACUGACACUGAGGUGCGAAAGCGUGGGGAGCAGACAGG